UACGUAGGGGGCGAGCGUUGUCCGGAAUCAUUGGGCGUAAAGCGCGUGUAGGCGGCCCGGUAAGUCCGCUGUGAAAGUCCAGGGCUCAACCCUGGGAUGCCGGUGGAUACUGUCGGGCUCGAGUCCGGAAGAGGCGAGUGGAAUUCCUGGUGUAGCGGUGAAAUGCGCAGAUAUCGGGAGGAACACCAGUGGCGAAGGCGACUACCUGGCCUGUUCUUGACGCUGAGGCGCGAAAGCGAGGGGAGCAAACGGG
rnacentral:rRNA from 1 species